rnacentral:rRNA from 1 species
UACGAAGGGUGCAAACGUUGCUCGGAAUUAUUGGGCGUAAAGGGUGCGUAGGUGGCGCGUUAAGUCAGGUGUGAAAUUUCGGAGCUUAACUCCGAAACUGCAUUUGAUACUGGCGUGCUUGAGGACUGGAGAGGAGACUGGAAUUCAUGGUGUAGCAGUGAAAUGCGUAGAGAUCAUGAGGAAGACCAGUGGCGAAGGCGGGGCUCUGGACAGUUCCUGACACUGAGGCACGAAGGCCAGGGGAGCAAACGGG